rnacentral:rRNA from 1 species
UACAGAGGAUGCAAGCGUUAUCCGGAAUGAUUGGGCGUAAAGCGUCUGUAGGUGGCUUUUUAAGUCCGCCGUCAAAUCCCAGGGCUCAACUCUGGACAGGCGGUGGAAACUACCAAGCUGGAGUACGGUAGGGGCAGAGGGAAUUUCCGGUGGAGCGGUGAAAUGCGUAGAGAUCGGAAAGAACACCGACGGCGUAGGCAGCGCCCUAGACGAGACCUGACGCUCAGGCACGAAAGCGCGGGGAGCGAACAGG